rnacentral:rRNA from 1 species
CUCGUAGGCGGUUUGUCGCGUCUGCUGUGAAAUCCGGAGGCUCAACCUCCGGCCUGCAGUGGGUACGGGCAGACUAGAGUGCGGCAGGGGAGAUUGGAAUUCCUGGUGUAGCGGUGGAAUGCGCAGAUAUCAGGAGGAACACCAAUGGCGAAGGCAGAUCUCUGGGCCGUAACUGACGCUGAGGAGCGAAAGCAUGGGGAGCGAACA